rnacentral:rRNA from 1 species
AGGUGAAACCGCGAAUGGCUCAUUAAAUCAGUUACGAUUCCUUAGGUCGUACACUAUUACUUGGAUAACUGUGGUAAUUCUAGAGCUAAUACAUGCAGCUGAGCUCCGACCUUUAGGGACGAGCGCUUUUAUUAGAAAAGACCAAUCGGACUCGGUUCGUUUUUAUGGUGACUCUGGAUAACUUUGUGCUGAUCGCGAGGGCUCGUCCCGGCGACGCAUCUUUCAAGUGUCUGCCUUAUCAACUACGACGGUUGGUUAAAUGCCUACCGUGGUUGUAACGGGUGACGGGGAAUCAGGGUUCGAUUCCGGAGAACUAGCAUUAGAUUCGGCUAGUGUUUCUAUGGAAAACAGCAGGCGCGCAAAUUGCCCAAUCGUUGAUUACGGAGGCAGUGACAAAAAAUAACAAUACGGGACUCUUUUGAGACCCCGUAAUUGGAAUGAGUACAAACUAAUCCUUUUAGCGAGGAUCAAUUAGAGCGCAAGCCUAGUGCCAGCCGGCGCGGUAACACUAGUUCUAAUAGCGUAUAUUAAAAUUGUUGCGGUUAAAAAGCUCGUAGUUGGAUCUCAGUUCUGGUAGGACGCUCCGCCUGCCGGUGGUUAGCGACUGCAUCGAACAGCCAGUCGGUUUCUCAUCGUGAUCUUAGCCGGUUGCUUUGGGUGACCGGCACGUUUACUUUGAAAAAAUUAGAGUGCUCAAAGCAGGCGUGUCGCCUGGAUAGUUGUGCAUGGAAUAAUGGAAUAGGACCUCGGCUCUAUUGUGUUGGUUUUCUGAACUCGAGGUAAUGGUUAAGAGGGACAGACGGGGCCAUUUGUACUUGCUAGCUAGAGGUGAAAUUCAGUGAACUAGCAAUGACAAACGAAAGCGAAAGCAUUUGGCAAGGAUGUUUCCGUUAAUCAGGAACGAAAGUUGGGGGUUCGAAGGCGAUUAGAUACCGCCGUAGUCCUAACUGUAAACGAUGUCGACCAGCGAUCCGUCAGAGUUCCUCAAAUGACUCGGCGGGCAGCUUCCGGGAAACCACAGUUGGAUUCCGGGGGGAAUAUGGUUGCAAAGCUGAAACUUAAAGGAAUUGACGGAGAAGCACCACAAGCUGUGGAUACUGCGGCUCAAUUCGACUCAACGCGCGUAAGCUUACUAUGCCAGGACACAUACAGGAUUGACAGAUUAAGAGCUCUUUCUCGAUCAUGUGGUUUGUGGUGCAUGGCCAUCUCUAGUUUGUGGAGUGGUUUGCCUGGUUUAUUUCGAUAACAAGCGAGACUCUAACCUGCUAAAUAGGCGUUCCGGUCGCUGAUGCCGGACGCUUUCUUAGAGGGACAAACGGUGAUUAGCCGUACGAGACAGAGCGAAGAUAGGUCUGAAAUGCCCGUAGAUGUCAUAGGCGGCACGCGUUAUACCAUGAGUGAAUCAGCGUGUGUUCUCCCUUGCCGAAAGGUCUGGGUAACCAUUGGAACCUCACUCGUGAUUGGGAUAGCGGAUUUGGACUAUCCCCUUGAACGAGGAACGUCUAGUAAGCGCGGCUCAUUAAGCCGUGUUGAUUAAGUCCCUGCUUCUUGUGCACAUCGCCCGUCGCUGUCUUGGAUUGAGCGAAUUAGUGAGGUCCUCGGACUGGCGCCCGGAGCGGCCUCGAGGUCGUCACGAAGUGCUGGAAAGACGAUCGAACUUGUU